CUAAGCGCGAAGCCAACCUUAAGAUGAGUAUUCGUUGAAGAGACCUGGAAGAUGACCAGGUAGAUAGGCUAUAGGUGGAAGCACAGUGAUGUGUUAGGGAGCCAAGUAGUACUAAUUUCUCGAAAGCUUCCUUU
rnacentral:rRNA from 1 species